CUCCUUACACCUCACAUUUUACGGACACUCAAAUCAGUGCACACACACACUGCACGUACACACAUUAUACACAGCAGGCUUACUCACAUUAUAUACAGUGCGCAUACACACAUUAUACAAAGCGCGCGCACACAUACAUACACACAUUAUACACAGCGCACACACACACCAAGCGUACACAUAUUAUACACAGCGAACAUAAACACAUUAUACACAGCGGGUUUACUCACAUUAUAUACAGUGUGCAUACACACAUUAUACAAAGCGCGCGCGCGCGCGCACACAUACAUACACACAUUAU